rnacentral:rRNA from 1 species
UAGCGGCAGGCCUAACACAUGCAAGUCGAGCGGUAACAUUUCUAGCUUGCUAGAAGAUGACGAGCGGCGGACGGGUGAGUAACGCGUAGAAAUCUACCUAGUAGUGGGGGAUAGCCCAGAGAAAUUUGGAUUAAUACCGCAUACGCCCUACGGGGGAAAGCGGGGGAUCUUCGGACCUCGUGCUAUUAGAUGAGUCUGCGUCGGAUUAGCUUGUUGGUGAGGUAAUGGCUCACCAAGGCGACGAUCCGUAGCUGGUCUGAGAGGAUGACCAGCCACACUGGAACUGAGACACGGUCCAGACUCCUACGGGAGGCAGCAGUGGGGAAUAUUGCACAAUGGGCGCAAGCCUGAUGCAGCCAUGCCGCGUGUGUGAAGAAGGCCUUAGGGUUGUAAAGCACUUUCAGCAGUGAGGAAAGGGGUGUCGUUAAUAGCGCCAUCCUGUGACGUUAACUGCAGAAGAAGGACCGGCUAACUCCGUG